GACCGUCUGAUUGACUGUUCCGCGGUUGAUCUAAUCUCAUCUGCUGAUGUCAUAGUAUCGUUAUUAGUAGGACAUUUACGUGUUGUUUUAAGUUGUAAGUAAAUAGUGGGAAUAUCAACGUGUCGGUUAAUUGUAUUACCGUCUAUACUGUACCGUGCCUCUUUAAAUUCACGUGCUUGUUUUAUUUGUGCUCAUCCUAAUAGUUUGGACGAGAACCAGCAAUGAGAUCAGA